UUUUUGGUUUUUUUUUUUUGGUUUUUUUUUUUUUUCACAAGCCAUUUAUGGAAUUACAUUACAACUUCAAAAACAAUAUCUUUGAGCCAAAAUGUACAUUUCAAAGAAUUGAGAUUAAUUGAUUGAAAUAAUGAACUUUAAUAUGGGCUCAAUAUAGUCUUAAUAUAGUUAUAUAAGGAACAUUUCAAUGUAUUGAUUGCAUAAAAAAUGUUAAAAAUAUUGUAGAUUAUUUAAAGAGAUUUUAUAUGAGAAAUGAAGUUUUAGUGGAAAUGAGGAUGGAGCAGGUUUGUGUCAUCAGAAGAAAAGGGUCAUGGUUAUGAUUUUCCCCACAAUAUGAAAAAGGGAUGGAAAUAGAGAGCAAGGUAGUAUUUAUUGCCUGGAUAAAUGUACUUUCUAGAUGGCAUCCUACCCUGGGUUGCAAUUCUAAUACAGGUCAAGGAGGAAAAAUUAAGUUAAAACUGGCCUCCUCAAUGCUCUUAAUCAUGGCAACAUCUGCAGCUUUGAUUUUGUGUAGCCUGAGUGCUCUUCAGACUCUCCAGUUGUAGCUAUUUUAGGACUCGUUCUGGACAUCAUAAUAUUCACUGGUGUUGUGGGGGUUUCUAUUUGACUGUUGCUCAGGACAGCUUCAUGGAAACUAAAGGAAAUGUAAUUCAGUCUUUAGUGGUUCUGAGGCAAUUAUUUUUCUCUCUCAUUCUAAGAUCUCUCAGCUCUCAGAAGAUCAGGGAACAGAAUGAUCCUAGCAACACUCAAGCAAUCGUUUUGGCAAAGUCUAAAAUAAUCCAUUUAUUUAGCGUUAUUUCACUUUUUUCCCCCUAAACUGCAAACAUUAGGGAAGGCCUGUAGAGCUUCUUCAUAUCCUUCCAGAAGCAUAUGAAAUAAAAUCCUUUUCCAUGAGAAAAUUUAUUAAAAUUAAUAACAUAGCAUUUGACAUCAAGCAUUUCUGGGAAGUCUGACAUGAUAUGAGAUUCCAGGUGAUUCAUGUCCUGAUAUUUGAAUGGAAUGAACUGAAAACUUUUAUUGCACAAGCCAUAAACUGCAGGAAAUUUCAGAUCUAGGUCUUUCUUGUUUCCUAAAAGUUACAAUUUCUUGAUCUCCAUGUCUUAUUCUUUACUUUUUUUUUUACUUUCAAGUGGCUAGUAUGACACAUGGAAGGAUAUAGACAGCUGUAAACUGAUCAGACAUUUGCCAUGUCAUUUGUCAUUAUUUUUAUGUUUAACCAAUUUUGCAUGUAUAUGAGACUGUACAGCAUAUUUUUAUUCAGGGAAGUUUUGCUGGUAAUAUAGUACUUUUCUACCAUGCAUGGAAUUGAGAUUUGAUUUAGUUUGAAAUUUUACCAUCUUUAUUUGCUCUGAUGCUUUAAACAAAUGGCUUUUAUUUUUUUUUUUUUUUAAUGAAAACUGGCAAAGUUAUGUAUAAGUUGCUCAUAAAACCAUACAAAUGUGUUUUUUGCUUCAUUACAAGUGACAUAUUCCUAGGCAAUUCAGAAUAGGUGGCAGAGAGAAGAAAACCUGAACCUUACUCUGUAGCUCUUCCCUAAGCCACAUUGUUCCCUAAAGCAAAAACAGCGCUGAAAAUCAUCUAGGCUAGCAAAUUUGCUGAGGUGUAUUUUAAUCUUUAGUACCAGAAUAGACAGUCACAAAGUGUGACUCUCUGCUACCUGACAGGAAGGAAUAGUUGAUUUCUUGUCAUAAUUUAUAUAGGUAUGUGCACACAUGUAUGAGUGUUUGUGUGCACCUGUUAUUGCCUAAUUCAGAUAAAUCAUUCAUGUCCAAAAAUGGUUCAGGAAAAGAAAAAUUCUACUGGGAAUGACACAGAUUGGAAAAGUUUAAAUAAAUGGCAUUUCAAGUGGAUAUGUUGUUGCGUGGGAUGCACCACAUGUUAAUUAACCAACACCAUUUUGUUUACACUCAGUAGCUGAAUAAAAAUGGUGCUUUCUGUAGUGUUGUUUAUCUUUCACCACAAAUAUUUCAGUGAAGCCUACUGUUGUCAUAUUCUAUGCAGUGUCUUAGAUACUUACAUCCUUAGCAGAAAGUUAGCUUGGUCUUAUAGUUUUGUAAUCUUGGUUUUAUAGUCUAUACAUAAACCUUCUUGGAACUUCAUAUCAUGUUGGUUAAAUAAAACCAAAUGAGACAGAGUGGUAAAGCUUUCCAAGUUAUCCUGUCAUUCAGAAUAUUGCAAACAUAAGCAUUUAGAUUAAGACGAGAUCCCUUUAGUCCCUUCUGCUGAAGGGAAAUGUUGCAAUAUAUGUUCAAUCACAUAGUUGACCUGAGAUAAUCUACAUGAGAAAGUCUUGCAUCAACUAGAUUUUUUCCUGUUCUCCUGAUCCCAAGGAGUAUAUGUUUUUCUAUAUUUCACUGCUAUUCUUAUUUUCUUGCUCAUUGUAGAAAACCUCACCACUAUUUUAUGCUUUGAUUUAUAAAGAUAAUGAAUUAUACAAAUACAUUUCUUUCUGGAAUAAGAACACACCAAGGAAACCUCUUACAUCAUGAAAUCAUGCCACACAUAUACUCACUCCUCUAUAUAUGAUCAUCUAUUGAGGAGGGUAACAGUUUUCCUGAUGGAUUUUUGUGAAGAAAAAGAAAGCAGGUUACUGUUCUUUGUAUCUUUGUCAGAAAUCUGAUAGCUUGUUGGGAAAUACCUGAUUAAAAUUUUGUGCAAGAAAAAAAGAAAGAAAAGCCUGGAUGAAAUGCAACUGCAUUAGGUUCCAUCUCUUUGGUCUGAGGCUUUUCAUCACAGGCAGAAAGCAAUGGCAUCAAAACUGUCCAUCAUAAAUUGUAGAUGUAAUAUAAGCAUAUAUGUUAUAGAAAAGUCUAAUCCACACCACUGGUCCCCUGAAAAUGAAAUGGCAUUUUCAUAAUGAUUGCAAUGAACUGGAUGAGGCCCAUUUAUUUCCAUUAUCGCAAAAUGAAGUUGGUAGCACUUCCAGAACAUUAAUGCCUGGAAAGAAAAUUAUAUCCAUAGUGUAUGUGAUAGUCUGGAUUCAACAAAGCUUAAGCACGCUCUUGAAUGCUUUGCUAGGUGACUCGCCUGGUGGAUGUGGGAAAGGCUGUGGAUGUUGUCUAUUUAGACUUCAGCAAAGCCUUUGUCACUGUCUCCCACAGCACACUCCUGGAGAAGCUGCAGCCCAUGGCUGGGACAGGAGCACUCUGUGCUGGGUUAGGAACUGGCUGGAUGGCCGGGCCCAGGGAGUGGUGGCGAACAGUGCUGCAUCCAGUUGGGGACAGGCACCAGUGGUGUCCCUCAGGGUUUGUGCUGGGGCCUGUUCUGUUCAAUGUUUUUAUUGAUCACAUGGAUGAGGGGAUUGAGUCUUUCAUUAGUAAAUUUGCAGACGACACUAAGCUGGGAGUGUGUGUCAAUCUGUUGGAAGGUAGGAGGGCUCUGCAGAGAGACUUGGAACAGUUGGACGAAUGGGCAGAGUCCCAUAAGAUGAAGUUCAAUAAAUCCAAGUGCCGAGUUCUGCAUUUUGGCCACAAUAACCCCCUGCAAUGUUACAGGCUGGGGAUG
rnacentral:lncRNA from 1 species